UCGAACACUCCACCCAACUCUAUCAUCCUCCCGUGACCACCGCUCUGCAUUUCCUCGCGUCGCGAUGGUGCCGCCGCGCCUCCAAUCGAUCGAGCCGCCGCGCGUGGAACCCUAGUGGCCCCUGUUUGGACGCCGUCGACGACGACCCAACCCGGCCUCGGGCGGCUCUCCCGCUCCCCAACCCCCUCCUACGGUCCUACCCCGCACAGAUGCCCCUCGCCGACGCGGUCCGGCUCCGUCUUUCGCCCACGAGGAGGACGUCUCUCUCGGCGGGCGAGGGAGAGGAGAUGGCCUCCGCGACCACAAAGCUCCAAGCAGCUCCGUCUGUCCCCUUCGACGCGCACGCCGGUUGAUAAUGCAACCGGACAUUCAGUUGCUCAAGAGUUAAAUAUAUCAGGCUGGACCGAAGAGUUCUUUGGUUCUCUUUUACAUGAUAGAUGGCAAAGACGCAGAAGAACAAAUCCACUAAACACCAUCUUGGUGGUCUGAAGUGACACACGAGGAAAGGCACUGGAGCUGUACGAGAACAUGCAUAUCAAGGCGGCGGUGGGUGCAAGAACGAAGACUUGCUCCACUCGGACGACGUCGUUGGCAAGAACGACUAUGGCCUGUAGCUAACUUGAACAUUGUAAUUCUGUGGUGAGCUGUGAGAAGAUACCGGCAGGAGGAGGAGGAGGAAGAGGGCUCGGCCCAGUAGUUGUCCUGCAGCUUGCAAGUGAACAAAAGAGACUUGCUUGGGUGUCCUAUGAUUUGUUUCACAUGUUCAAAUACUACUCAAGCAGGCACUAAGAUAUCAAGCUGGUUCUGUGUUGGCACAACAAUUGCAAUCAAGCUGAUACUCUUGCUUAGCAUCACGUGUUAACGGUCUUAUUCGAAUUUAAAGGAGCUAUCAACUAAA